AGUGUAGUGGAGAGGUCCAAAUUUUCAAAAAGCAGUCUUCCCACUCCACUUUAGAGAAAGUUACUAAGGCCCCGUUCUCCUCUACUUUUCAAACGGACUUUUGUAAUAAAAAUUCCUUUUCUCUUAACAGCGAAGAAGAAUGGCCAUCGUUUCAGAACUAUUUUCACCAUCUAAAAAGUACUUUUUGGCUGAUGAAGAAGUUAAAAAUUUCAACUUUUCUUUAGCCAAAAGUCUGUUUGGCUGAUAAUUUCCCAUUUUAACCUAUCUUCUCCCCCAAAAAAGUUUCUUUUCUUUGGUUCUUUGGAGCUCUAUACCCAUUUUUUCACAUUUUCACUUUCAAAGUUCUUUGUUCAGGUUCUUUGUUCCUCUUCCGCCGUUUGACUUACGUUAUGGGGCAAAGAGGUCACUAGCUGAUCGUCCUAGACUUACUCUGGCCUUGAAAUCAUGUGAUAUCAGUUCUACUAGACCUCAUUUACUCAUUGUUGGUGGGAAGUAUGUAGCUGAUCUUUCCUUCCUUUAUUAUUUAUUAUUUGCUUUUUUUGUUCUCUGCUAAUCUUGUAUUUGAAUGUUUGAAGUGAUGCAUUUGCUCGACUAUAUUAUAGAAGGAUGUUGCCACCAUUGACCUCUUGCCAGAAAAGAAUGUUACCACCUACUAGUGUUAAUUAUUUUUGCCCAAUGCAUCUCUCUGACCGUGUUAGUUUUGAAAUUCUUUGUUAGUUCUUACUCUUGUUGACUUCUUUCUUAGAAAUAUCUCUGGUAAAUUUUAUGAUUUCUUCUCAUCAGGACCAAGUUUUAUUUUGUAUAGUGUGGACUUAUGAAUAGAUAGUCCUGAAUGAUGUAACUAUUCAAUUAGCAAAUGAUAAUAAUUCUCUGCUUGUUUUCCUUUUCUA